UACGAAGGGGGCUAGCGUUGUUCGGAAUUACUGGGCGUAAAGCGCAUGCAGGCGGAUCGCUAAGUCAGGGGUGAAAGCCCGAGGCUCAACCUCGGAACUGCCUUUGAUACUGGCGAUCUUGAGUCCGGGAGAGGUGAGUGGAACUCCGAGUGUAGAGGUGAAAUUCGUAGAUAUUCGGAAGAACACCAGUGGCGGAGGCGACUGACUGGACAAGUAUUGACGCUGAGGUACGAAAGCGUGGGGAGCAAACAGG
rnacentral:rRNA from 1 species